AGCUGCCUCCCGAGCCUUGUCUCCUCGAGUUUGCCUCUUAAAAGAAUUUCCUUCUCUAGUAUCAUCAAAAUUUCCUCGUCUUUUUUCUUCCAUCAAAGCUUCAUGUUGGCUCUUAGCAAUAUAUGCAUGAACUGAAAGAGACUCAACAGGAUCCUCUCAACCUGUUCUUCCUCGUAUUGUAGCUGCAGUUCUCAAUAACGCUUCUCGAGGUAAUUUCCCUUCUUGCAUUGUAGAAACGGCAGAAGCCCAAAACUCACUAGUUUCCGUACUUCCACCAAUUUCAUCAUCUACUCUAGCACCAUAACUUGCACUUUCUCGUACUAUUGUUUCAUGC
rnacentral:lncRNA from 1 species